rnacentral:rRNA from 1 species
UGAGGAAUAUUGGUCAAUGGGCGAGAGCCUGAACCAGCCAAGUCGCGUGAAGGAUGACUGUCUUAUGGAUUGUAAACUUCUUUUAUACGGGAAUAACAAGAGUCACGUGUGACUCCCUGCAUGUACCGUAUGAAUAAGCAUCGGCUAACUCCGUGCCAGCAGCCGCGGUAAUACGGAGGAUGCGAGCGUUAUCCGGAUUUAUUGGGUUUAAAGGGUGCGUAGGCGGUUUGUUAAGUCAGCGGUGAAAUCUAGAGGCUCAACCUCGAAACUGCCGUUGAAACUGGCGAACUUGAGUGUAGAUGAGGUAGGCGGAAUUCGUGGUGUAGCGGUGAAAUGCAUAGAUAUCACGAGGAACUCCGAUUGCGAAGGCAGCUUACUAAGGUACAACUGACGCUGAAGCACGAAAGCGUGGGUAUCAAACAGGAUUAGAUACCCUGGUAGUCCACGCAGUAAACGAUGAUAACUGGGCGUAUGCGAUAUACAGUAUGCUCCUAAGCGAAAGCGUUAAGUUAUCCACCUGGGGAGUACGCCGGCAACGGUG